rnacentral:tRNA from 1 species
GCAUCCAUAAUUGAAUGGUUAAAGCAUCCAACUCAUAAUUGGCAAAUUCGUAGGUGCAAUUUCUGUUGGAUGCA